GUAGGGAAUCUUCGGCAAUGGACGAAAGUCUGACCGAGCAACGCCGCGUGAGUGAAGAAGGUUUUCGGAUCGUAAAACUCUGUUGUUAGAGAAGAAUGUUGAUUAGAGUGGAAAAUUAAUCAAGUGACGGUAUCUAACCAGAAAGGGACGGCUAACUACGUGCCAGCAGCCGCGGUAAUACGUAGGUCCCGAGCGUUGUCCGGAUUUAUUGGGCGUAAAGCGAGCGCAGGUGGUUUAAUAAGUCUGAUGUAAAAGGCAGUGGCUCAACCAUUGUGUGCAUUGGAAACUGGUAGACUUGAGUGCAGAAGAGGGGAGUGGAAUUCCAUGUGUAGCGGUGAAAUGCGUAGAUAUAUGGAGGAACACCGGUGGCGAAAGCGGCUCUCUGGACUGUCACUGACACUGAGGCUCGAAAGCGUGGGUAGCAAACAGGAUUAGAUACCCUGGUAGUCC
rnacentral:rRNA from 1 species